CACAGCUGCACUGAUAGUUCACCUCUUACAGGUGUUGAUGAUGUGUGUAACGUAACGUAACAAGACUUUGUAACAGCAUGAAGGACCUGUCGGGAACAUCCCGUCUGCUUUGUGCGACCAAUGUGACGGCUCGCCAUGUUGUUUGGACACCCAUCCAUCCAUCCAUCCAUCCAUCCAUCCAUCCAUCCAUCCAUCCAUCUUCUUCCGCUUAUCCGAGGUUCCCAGGCGCUCCUCCAGGAAGCCGAUCUGCUCACUGAGGGAGUCGAUGCGGUCCAGCUGCUGGAAGGAGUGGGACAGCACGCUGGUCUCGGACGCGCCCUCAUCCAGCGACAGGGGGAAGACGCUGCCGUACGGUGCCAGCGCCAACUGCAGCGUCUGGAAGGGACGCAACGUGAGAGAAGAACGGCGUGCGGCCUCCUCACGGAGGGAUGACCUUGCCGGUACCUUUUCCAGAAGCUCCACCCGGCUCCUCAGGCUCCGCACCUCCUCCGACACGUUACCCUGAAGGCUGAAGCGUCCGCCUGCAGCGACAGGAGGGAGACAUCAGUAAGGGAAUGUAUCGCCUCCAAGGGCUCCAGAACAUCUGCUCAUAUCUCAAGGACAAUUUGCACCUACCAUACCAGGAGGAGGAAGGGGAGGGGGGGUUUGUGGUUGCUAUAGGCAACGGGAUAAACAGCCUCAUCCUCAAAGCGCCAGCAGAGGGCGCCAGUCGCGGUGCAUUAUUACUCACGGUACGAGUUGAGAGUGGCAUAGCGCGUACCAAAAGUAAUAAUGGGCCGCAAAGCUGGCUGCGAUCUCUCCGUCUUCUUCCUCGUCUUCGCCGUUGUCGUCUCCAGAAAAGUUUACCGCCCACCUGUUGUCGGAGCAUCGCUGGAGGCGGGGCCCGGGCGGUGACAGGAGCGACCGUCCGCGGACAGGUCGAAGCCGGCCCUGCAGGCGCAUCGGAAGCUCCCCGCCGUGUUGACGCACUGCUGAACGCAAGGACGCUGCCGGACGCACUCGUCCACAUCUGCGAAGGGAACAGGCACGAUAAAAACUGGAAACGGGCGCCAGGCCGCCUUUUGGACCUCCCCCCCACCCCCGUCUACACGGACAUCUCUUGUAAGUAACGUCUCAGCUUGUAUUUGGCAAGCACGACUUCUCACAGACUUUGCGGUUAAAAGAAUGUCUGGCGGGAAAGUUUUAUUUUUGUUUUUUUUUGCUUUUCCUGGUUAAAGAGAAGAAUGAGAGCUGGCGAGAGUCUGAAAAUAAACAAGGCGCGCGGUCUCUGCGGGCGCCGAUUUCCUGUCGUUCCGCAAAGCGCUUGAUAGUUGAGAUUGCGGCGCAAUGGUUGCCAUGGUGACCCGCUCGCAAAGACCUUUGGACGUCAAGAAAACUCACUUGUACGUGCUGCACAGGCGCUGACCCUGGCACACGGUGAUGUAGGGCCUGUGCAGAGGGAGGAUGUACGACUCGGUUGCCGUGACAACGUGAUGGUGGGGGUCGCGGCUACCACACACCCUCCUCCUGGCGACAGGGGCACAGAUUGCAUCAUCAGCAAGAA